UGGUUUUCGGAUGAUAACUCAAGAACGCAUACGCUUAGGAUCAUGAAACUUCAUGGGUAGAUUGAUCAUGACUCGCAGAUGACCCCUAUUGAUUUUGAGGUCACUAGGUCAAAGGUCAAGGUCACGGUGACCCGAAAUAGUAAAAUGGUUUCCGGAUGAUAACUCAAUAACGCAUACGCCUAGGAUCAUGAAACUUCAUGGGUAGAUUGAUCAUGACUCGCAGAUGACCCCUAUCAAUUUUGAGGUCACUAGGUCAAAGGUCAAGGUCACGGUGACCCGAAAUAGUAAAAUGGUUUCCGGAUGAUAACUCAAGAACGCAUACGCCUAGGAUCAUGAAACUUCAUAGGUAGAUUGAUCAUGACUUGCAGAUGACCCCUAUUGUUUUUGAGGUCACUAGGUCAAAGGUCAAGGUCACGGUGACCUGAAAUAGUAAAAUGGUUUUCGGAUGAUAACUCAAGAACGCUUUUGCCUAGGAUCAUGAAACUUCAUAGGUAGAUUGAUCAUGACUCGCAGAUGACCCCUAUUGAUUUUGAGGUCACUAGGUCAAAGGUCAAGGUCACAGUGACAAAAAUCGUGCUCACACAAUGGCUGCCACUACAAUGGACAGCCCAUAUGGGGGGCAUGCAUGUUUUACAAACAGCCCUUGUUUUGUCAUUUGUUUUAAAU